GUGGGACAGCGAGGUGUGAGACGGAGCCUGCAGCAGCUGGAUGGUCAGGUCUCUGGUCUUACUGUCCAGGUUCACCUUCAACAGGACGAGACAGGAAGUUAGUGUGUGCUACACUCAGGUAGAGUCUGAGAAUCAUCCUGUAGAGACUUGAAGACUUUGAUCGCAGCCCAAAGCUUCAUUCAGACUGGAUUCAUACUUCCAAAGAAUGUGAGAACCUGCCAGGAGAGACUGAACUGACCCACCUGUCCAAAGAGACUCUUGAGGUGCAGUUUAGCGGCGGACAGUUUGGCUCUAUGGUGGUGGUGUCUGUGCUGGUACUUGGAGGAGAAAGGGUUGGAG